ACAAUUGAAAAUGAGAUGAGAGAAAAAUCUAAGCCUAUAUCAGGUUGAUUCUACUAAACCCCAUCUCCUUUAGUCUCCUGUUUGUGGAUUACUCUUAAUAAUUUUUUAAAUGUUUAUUUAGUUUUGAGAGAGAGAGAGAGAGAGGCAGAGAUCGAAGGAGACAGAAUCUGAAGCAAGCUCCAGGCUCUGAGCCGUCAGCACAGAGCCUGUUGAGGGGCUCGAACUCAGGAACCGUGAGAUCAUGACCUGAGCUGAAGUCGGACACUAAACCGACUGAGUCACCCAGACGCCAUGUUUGUGCAUUACUCUUAUGGGUCUCAGAACUCAGGGACACCUGAGGGGCUCGGUGGAGCAUCCAACUUUGGCUCAGGUCAUGAUCUCGUGGUUUGUGAGUUUGAGCCUCACAUCGGGCUCUCUGCUUUCAGCCUGUCAGCGCAGAGCCUGCUUCGGAUCCUCUGCCCCUCCCCCCUGCCCCUCCCCUGCUUGCGCUCUCCCUCAUAUAAAGAAAUAUUAAAAAAAGAAAACUCAGUUCAGGUGGCCCCUCCUCUAGGAAGCCAACCAUGCCCCUGUUUGGAAACGAUGACCCUGCUCUGUUUUCCCAGUUCUCUCUGUGUAUAUGUCUGACUAUGCUGACUUUGGUGUUGACUUGUCUGCCUCCCCCAUUAGACCGACCUCAUUAUGUUUAACAAGAGUAAAUUGGGCCAGAGUAAAUAUGGGCCAGAAUAUGCUAGGUCCUUAUGACCAAGGAUGGACUGGUCAAGGUCCUGGAAUGACCUAGGAUCAACUGAGGGCACAGACAGGGGGGCCCAUUUGGGGCAGGGCCAGCAUGUAAUCAGUUCUGUUUCCCUAGCAAUUAAAGUACUUGACACAAAGUAAAUGCUCAACAAGUGAAUAUUGAAUGAAUGGUGUUGGCAUUGUGGAAGUAUUUAUAAAAUUCCUGAGAAUUUGAGUUUGGAGGAAGUUUGCCCGUCGUUAUUCCUUGAGCUCUGAAGACUGUACUUCCUACUAGCUUGAGCCCAUCAAAGAUGAGGUUACUUUGGUCUCUCAUAGCAUCUGUUGGGCACAGUUUACAAGGGAUAAUUAACCUUUUAUGGCUCAGCUACUUUCGGAAUAAGUGCACUGAUAGCUCUGCCAAAGACAACUUUGAUUCAUGGCUGCAGUAAUAAUGUGUGUAGUUAAAAAAAAAAGCUGGUUCUGGAGUCAUAACAUUUCAGUUCUGGUCCUGGAUGUGUAACUAGCUAGAAGAAGAUACUAGGCAAAUUACUCAUGUUGGUGGGUUUUUUUUUUCCAUCUCUAAACCAAGGGGAAUGGGUUAGAUGAAUUCCAGCACCUUGCGUUUGGAUGUCUCUGAAUCGAUGGCUCAUUUACCUGGAUUCCUGGACAGAAUCCACUUGAGUCCAUUUGAACUCGCCUUCCUCAAGCCUGGACCUCUUCGGUGACCUGGCUAUACCGCACCCUUGCAACACCACUGCUUUCUGCUGUAUGUGCUGCUCAAGGCAGUCAGCAUCCCUGAUGCCAUGAUGCUUGACAUAGAAACGUGCACCUGAGUGGGUCUGCAUCACCCAGGGUCCUUUGUCACUGGCUCCUGGUUAGGAUUGGCCAUGGGAGGCAAUGGCAGGAGACUGGAGGGCAGGAAGAGUGGGGAUGUUGAAUUUCUUCUCUGUUUUCUCUUUCUUUGGUCAUGUCACCAGCAGCAGCUACAUCUGUGACUCUAGCAAAGUAAUGGCUUCCCACUGUUGCUAGUCUCUGAGUGCCUUGCUUGUCCCCUGAACCCUGCCUGCACCUGUGUAAGAGGUCCCUGCAAUGAAGUCUCUUCAGUUGAACCACGUGUGAAAAUCAUUGAUUGGUUCAGCUCGAGUCACGUCUCUCAAUGGAUAGCUCCAUAACUGUUUGGCCCCGGAGGAUGAAUCAUCACAACACAAUUCAAAGGUAAGGAGACCCUUUCUGUCUGCCCUCAAGGCUGAGUGAACCUGGCCCGAGUCAACGCUGUCGUGAGCUUGUGAAGCUUCGGCGGAGGGGAUGCUGAACCACAACAGAGGAGGAAACCCCACCCUGGAGUUUGCUCUCAGCUGCUCGCCCAAGUUCAUUCUCUCUCUCUUUCUCUUUCUCAUACGUACAUCCCAUAACACCUUUUACGAAGCUGAAACUGUGCAUUAUUUUCAGGAUUAUCGUAUGUGUAACAACUGAACCCAACUGCAGUUUCCUAAAUAAAUAUGUGUUUAAAUAAAGGCAUCACUGAAUAUUUAUGAAUUUCAAGAGACCCAUGUGUUCGGUUCAUAAAAGCUGUGAAGUAAUUUGGAGGGAUUUCUUCCCUCUGAGUUGAA